rnacentral:rRNA from 1 species
AAAUUGAAGAGUUUGAUCAUGGCUCAGAUUGAACGCUGGCGGCAGGCCUAACACAUGCAAGUCGAGCGGUAGCACAGAGAGCUUGCUCUCGGGUGACGAGCGGCGGACGGGUGAGUAAUGUCUGGGAAACUGCCUGAUGGAGGGGGAUAACUACUGGAAACGGUAGCUAAUACCGCAUAAUGUCGCAAGACCAAAGUGGGGGACCUUCGGGCCUCAUGCCAUCAGAUGUGCCCAGAUGGGAUUAGCUAGUAGGUGGGGUAAUGGCUCACCUAGGCGACGAUCCCUAGCUGGUCUGAGAGGAUGACCAGCCACACUGGAACUGAGACACGGUCCAGACUCCUACGGGAGGCAGCAGUGGGGAAUAUUGCACAAUGGGCGCAAGCCUGAUGCAGCCAUGCCGCGUGUGUGAAGAAGGCCUUCGGGUUGUAAAGCACUUUCAGCGGGGAGGAAGGCGAUAAGGUUAAUAACCUUGGCGAUUGACGUUACCCGCAGAAGAAGCACCGGCUAACUCCGUGCCAGCAGCCGCGGUAAUACGGAGGGUGCAAGCGUUAAUCGGAAUUACUGGGCGUAAAGCGCACGCAGGCGGUCUGUCAAGUCGGAUGUGAAAUCCCCGGGCUCAACCUGGGAACUGCAUUCGAAACUGGCAGGCUAGAGUCUUGUAGAGGGGGGUAGAAUUCCAGGUGUAGCGGUGAAAUGCGUAGAGAUCUGGAGGAAUACCGGUGGCGAAGGCGGCCCCCUGGACAAAGACUGACGCUCAGGUGCGAAAGCGUGGGGAGCAAACAGGAUUAGAUACCCUGGUAGUCCACGCCGUAAACGAUGUCGAUUUGGAGGUUGUGCCCUUGAGGCGUGGCUUCCGGAGCUAACGCGUUAAAUCGACCGCCUGGGGAGUACGGCCGCAAGGUUAAAACUCAAAUGAAUUGACGGGGGCCCGCACAAGCGGUGGAGCAUGUGGUUUAAUUCGAUGCAACGCGAAGAACCUUACCUGGUCUUGACAUCCACAGAACUUAGCAGAGAUGCUUUGGUGCCUUCGGGAACUGUGAGACAGGUGCUGCAUGGCUGUCGUCAGCUCGUGUUGUGAAAUGUUGGGUUAAGUCCCGCAACGAGCGCAACCCUUAUCCUUUGUUGCCAGCGGUUAGGCCGGGAACUCAAAGGAGACUGCCAGUGAUAAACUGGAGGAAGGUGGGGAUGACGUCAAGUCAUCAUGGCCCUUACGACCAGGGCUACACACGUGCUACAAUGGCAUAUACAAAGAGAAGCGACCUCGCGAGAGCAAGCGGACCUCAUAAAGUAUGUCGUAGUCCGGAUUGGAGUCUGCAACUCGACUCCAUGAAGUCGGAAUCGCUAGUAAUCGUAGAUCAGAAUGCUACGGUGAAUACGUUCCCGGGCCUUGUACACACCGCCCGUCACACCAUGGGAGUGGGUUGCAAAAGAAGUAGGUAGCUUAACCUUCGGGAGGGCGCUUACCACUUUGUGAUUCAUGACUGGGGUGAAGUCGUAACAAGGUAACCGUAGGGGAACCUGCGGUUGGAUCACCUCCUUA